GACGGUACCCCUCGAGGAAGCCCCUGCCAACUACGUGCCAGCAGCCGCGGUAAGACGUAGGGGGCGAGCGUUGUCCGGAAUGACUGGGCGUAAAGGGCGUGUAGGCGGCCGGGUACGUGGGGCCGGAAAGGCGGCGGCUCACCCGCCGCAGGGGUCUCAAACGGCCGGGCUGGAGGGCAGGAGAGGUGCGUGGAAUUCCCGGUGGAACGGUGAAAUGCGUAAAGAUCGGGAAGAACACCCGUGGCGAAGGCGGCGCACUGGCCUGGCCCUGACGCUGAGGCGCGACAGCGUGGGGAGCGAACGGGAUUAGAUACCCCGGUAGUCCACGCCGUAAACGAUGGGUACUAGGUGUCGGGGGGGUGCACCCCGCGGUGCCGGAACUAACCCACUAAGUACCCCGCCUGGGGAGUACGGCCGCAAGGUUGAAACUCAAAGGAAUUGACGGG
rnacentral:rRNA from 1 species